GCCAGGCAUGGUGGUGCAUGCCUGUAAUCCCAGCAGUUUGGGAGGCUGAGGCAGAAGGAUUCCAAGUUAGAGGCCACCCUCAGCAAUUUAGCAAAUCUCUAAGGAACUUAGUGAGACCUUGUCUCAA
rnacentral:sRNA from 1 species